rfam:Spirochaetes bacterium RIFOXYC1_FTLL_54_7 rifoxyc1_full_scaffold_996, whole genome shotgun sequence.
CAAGUGGCUGUGAAACGGAACCGAGUUAUUGGGCGGCCGGUGGCGACGCCUGGCGUCAAGCGUAUGACAGGGGGUGACAGGCCGUAACGAAAGUGAACCGAUUGAGCUCCGAGAAUACCCGUGGUCGCCGACCGUAUCCCCGUUACGGGAAGGCACAAGCCUCGGAACGCGUACCUGCUUCACGCUAACAGCACGAGCGUUCUGGAGGGGCCACCGGAGUCUGAGCGGA